CUCCAUGAUCCUGAAAGUAUUCAUCCACAAGAGGAGAUUUAUCCUCUUCAACUUCCUGCCAAAAAGAAAACAACAAACAAAAGAUGGGGAAAGUGCAGUCUCUCUGCAGAUCUGAGAAAGCUCUCACUGAAGAAUGAAAGUUGGAAGUACUUUUAGACUGCAACCAGCAUCUGGAGGCAGCUGAAGACAUCUAUCACAUCUCCGCCAGCUAAGCAUUCUUUCAUUUGGACUGAAUAAACCCAGUUCCCUAAAUCA